rnacentral:lncRNA from 1 species
UAUAUUUUAUAUAUAUAUAUUUACUGAUGAUAUUUUAAAGUUCAUACUCUUCAUUUAAUACAUGAUAAAAACAUCUUUUCUGUUUAAUGGUUGAUUAUUAAAGAAGAGAAACUAUGAUAAUUUAAUUAUCGCAUAUUAUUCCUUAACAUUCGUUAUGUUUGUGGUCCUUGAGUAAGACCAAGUUUGUUUUUUAAUGGGAAUUUAAUUUCAUCCAUUAUUUUAUAUUCUUUUUUUGUUUGUUUAUUUCAUGCCUUAACUAUGGACGAAGAGCGCUAAGAAUGGUAUUCAUCUACGAAAGAACUUUCCCCAUUGAAGGACAUGUGCAAUAAAGCGUGAUAUCAACAACUUACAUAAUAUAUAUACUUUCAUUUGUCAACGGUAUGCCAUAAGUCCGAUAAUACAAACAUACGAAUAUUGAUGGAUUACUGUUUCACUGACAUUAAUGACACUUACCUAAUUUAGAUCAGAAUUUUGAUCCAAAAGUGCGAGUCGUAUCAACAUUGACUAACCAAUGCCUAAUUUUACUGUUUUAUAAAUACAAAUUUACAAAAUACGACUUCGAUCAGCAUUUUGAUACACAACUGGACCCUAG